GACAGAGGUGCCGAGCGUUAGGCGGAAUCACUGGGCUUAAAGCGGGUGUAGGCGGGCGAUCAAGUACCUUGUGAAAUCCCACGGCUCAACCGUGGAACCGCUGGGUAUACUGGUUGUCUUGAGCCGGCUAGGGGCGAGCGGAACAGACGGUGGAGCGGUGAAAUGCGUAGAUAUCGUCUGGAACGCCGAAGGUGAAAACAGCUCGCUGGGGCCGCGCUGACGCUGAGACACGAAAGCCAGGGGAGCGAACGGG
rnacentral:rRNA from 1 species